GUCGAGAAUCUUCCGCAAUGCGCGAAAGCGUGACGGAGCGACACCGCGUGAUGGAUGAAGUCCUUCGGGGCGUAAACAUCUUUUAUAAAGGAGGAAAUUUUUGACGUUACUUUAUGAAUAAGGGGCUCCCAAUCUCGUGCCAGCAGGAGCGGUAAUACGAGAGCCUCAAGCGUUAUCCGGAAUCAUUGGGCGUAAAGGGUGCGUAGGUGGUUUGAUUAGUCUCCCGUUAAAACUUCGAGCUUAACUCGAAAAGAGCGGGGGAAACGGUCAAACUAGAGUAUGUGAGAGGUGUGUGGAACUCAUGGUGUAGGGGUGAAAUCCGUUGAUAUCAUGGGGAACACCAAAAGCGAAGGCAGCACACUGGCACAUCACUGACACUGAGGCACGAAACCUAAGGUAGCGAAUGGGAUUAGAUACCCCUGUAGUCC
rnacentral:rRNA from 1 species